CCUACGGGUGGCAGCAGUGAGGAAUAUUGGUCAAUGGACUUACGCCUGAACCAGCCAAGUAGCGUGAGGGAAGACUGCCCUAUGGGUUGUAAACCUCUUUUGUCAGGGAGCAACGCCGGCUACGUGUAGCCGGACUGAGAGUACCUGUAGAAAAAGCAUCGGCAAACUCCGUGCCAGCCGCCGCGGUAAUACGGAGGAUGCGAGCGUUAUCCGGAUUUAUUGGGGUUAAAGGGUGCGUAGGCGGAAUGCCAAGUCAGCGGUAAAAUCGCGGGGGUCAACCUCGCUCCGCCGUUGAAACUGGCGUUCUUGAGUGGGCGAAAAGUAUGCGGAAUGCGUGGUGUAGCGGUGAAAUGCAUAGAUAUCACGCAGAACUCCGAUUGCGAAGGCAGGAGACCGGCGUCCAACUGACGCUGAAGCACGAAAGCGUGGGUAUCGAACAGGAUUAGAUACCCGGGUAGUC
rnacentral:rRNA from 1 species